rfam:Triticum aestivum genome assembly, contig: Triticum_aestivum_CS42_TGACv1_scaffold_623988_7DS
AUAAUACUCCCUCCGUCCGGAAAUACAUGUGGAGAAAUGCAUAAAAAUGGAUGUAUAUAGAACUAAAAUACAUCUACAUACAUCCAUUCCUCCGACAAGUAUUUCCGGACGGAGGGAGUAUAAU